rnacentral:rRNA from 2 species
UUGACCUCGGAUCAGGUAGGGAUACCCGCUGAACUUAAGCAUAUCAUUAAG